AGCCUAAUCACAUAGCAUUCAAAUACUAGCAAACCAUGCAAACCAACCUAAAUGUUACUGCUAUUACAAACCAAAGAACUUCUUUCACGUAUAGCCAUUUUCAAACAAAACUGAUACUAAACAGAAGAAUCGAAUCGCUUAAAAGCUUUGAUUUCAUGCUAUGACAUCCUACUCAUGCUCAUUAUACUAAUCAAAACAUUUCUAAUGUUGAACAUUAUAGGUAUACAUGAGAUUGAAAGAAAAAGAAACAAGAUCCAAUACAAAUAACAUCAUAUUUCAGAUCCAAACUUCAUACUACACUUAAGUGAUGUCCAUGGUGCUGAAAAUACCUGGAAAUUGAAAGGAAAAAAAAGUGCAGAAUCAGUAGAUAGCAACAACAGAAUAAACCUAGCAACAUCAAUAAAACAGUACCCCUAGAUCCAAACCAGCUUGAACCAACUUUUAAAAAUCCCAAAACUCAAACCAUCUUCAAAUCAAGUGCAGGAAUUUACAAUUUUCAAGAGUUCUAGCUAGUGGGGAGAUCAAAAAACCCAGCAAACAAACCAAAUUUGAGCAGUUUCCAGCCAAGAAAUGUAAGAAAUCCAGUAUUAUCUUUCAGAGCCAGCCGUUUUAAAUUUUCAAAGGUUUUUUUUAUCUCCUCCCCUUUUUUUUCUUGCUACUGAAGUAAAAGAUGACUUUAUAGGCAAGGUAUUAGGGCAGCCUAAUGGGAUUCAUCUUUGCAUUUAAAACCUUUUGCAAUUUUUGUUUUAACCCCAAUCCCAGCUUCCUAGAAGCUUCCCUAGUCUGUUACUAAGAUUCCCUUACCCAAUCUCCCUAAAUUACCCCUUUAAAUAGCUAUUAUUUACCCUCUGAAACCAGAACAGAUAUAGGUCAAAGUUGACCCAAGGUUGAAUUAACCCAAGACCCAGCCCGAACCAUGAGCCUGUACUAACAGCCCAAAUUAAGUUUUCAAAUUUUGAACUUAAUAGGAAUCUUUCAAACAGACCAACCCUUGAAUUUCAGCAGAAAAAGAUUUCACUUAGAGAAGCUCGGAAAGAGUUAUUUAAUAAUUAAAUCGACUAAUUAAUCAGAUUAUACCAGGAUAUUGAUACGCUAACCUAUUUUAUUGAACUUAAAAAUAAACUUAAACUAAAGAGGAAUAAGAAUUAGAACCAUAACCUUAAACAUUAAAAAAAUGAGAAGAGAAGAAACAGAAGGAGGCGGGUUCAAGAAUGAAACAGACGACAGAGACAAAGGAGCAAGAACAAAGACAAUACCUCGAUAGCCAUACAAACAAGGCUUGAUAAACCUCAAGCGACUCGGAUCUGACUCGAAACCGGUAUUAACCAUAUGUUCUCUUUGAGAACAAAGGAGAAAUACUUGUUUCAAGCCCAAUCAUUCAUAAGAACUUGAGGACUUGAGAGAUUUUCUUCUCCUUCGAUUUCAGAUUUGAAACAGGUCCGAUUUGGCGAGGAUUCGAAAAAAUUGGCGGUGGAUUGGGGCUAAGGGAAGGGUGAUAGUUGCAUGGAUGGAUUUUGGUGGUAUUCGAGCUCCGCCACCGGCCGAAAAUGGCGAAGAGAUGGAGGGCGGCGCUAGGGUUUGCUGAGGAGGGUGAGAGACAGAAGGGAGUUUGAACUGGGUUGUCUCUGAGAAUGCUUGG
rnacentral:lncRNA from 1 species